UAUCCAAAUCAAGCGUUGAAAAUCAUUUGCACCAGCUUAGUUAUGUGAAUUGCUUUGAUGUUUGGGUUCCACAUAAGUUAGGCAAAAAAAACCUUCUUAACCAUAUUUCCUCAUGCGAUUCCCUACUGAAACGUAAUGAAAAUGUUCUGUUUUUAAAACAAAUGUGAUGGGAGAUGAAAAGUGGAUACUGCACAAUAGUACGGAACGGAAGAGAUCAUGGGCCAAGUGAAAUGAACCGCCACCAACCACACCUAAGGCUGGUCUUCAUCCAAAGAAGGUGAUGUUGUGUAUA